rnacentral:rRNA from 1 species
UUUUAUUUGAGAGUUUGAUCCUGGCUCAGGAUGAACGCUGGCGGCGUGCCUAACACAUGCAAGUUGAGCGAUUUACUUCGGUAAAGAGCGGCGGACGGGUGAGUAACGCGUGGGUAACCUACCCUGUACACACGGAUAACAUACCGAAAGGUAUGCUAAUACGGGAUAAUAUAUUUGAGAGGCAUCUCUUAAAUAUCAAAGGUGAGCCAGUACAGGAUGGACCCGCGUCUGAUUAGCUAGUUGGUAAGGUAACGGCUUACCAAGGCGACGAUCAGUAGCCGACCUGAGAGGGGGAUCGGCCACAUUGGAACUGAGACACGGUCCAAACUCCUACGGGAGGCAGCAGUGGGGAAUAUUGCACAAUGGGCGAAAGCCUGAUGCAGCAACGCCGCGUGAGUGAUGAAGGCCUUCGGGUCGUAAAACUCUGUCCUCAAGGAAGAUAAUGACGGUACUUGAGGAGGAAGCCCCGGCUAACUACG